GAAGUUUCUCCCAAGAGAAGUAAGAAACAUGUAAGAAUUGUGACGUCACCAUCCGAUUGUUUAAAGACGACACCAACAACAACUUAUACAGUUUUACCGACCAUUACUCCUUACUCUCCUGAUGAGAAAAAUAACUGGUAUCACGUCUACACCUCCGUCCAGAAUAAAAUAUUAAACGGUCUGAGCUUAUCAACACCAUGCACUGAAUCCCAGACAACACCUACAACAUCUGGGGGUCUACAUCUAUCGGAACAAGAAACAUCUAGUGGUCAAUCUAUCUGUUUAUCUGGUCAAGGAACAUCUAGUGGUCAAUCUAUCUGUUUAUCUGGUCAAGGAACAUCUAGUGGUCAGUCCAUCUGUUUAUCUGGUCAAGGAAGCUAUGUGUAUACUCCUCAUCCUAAAACUGGUCAGUUAUUUUAUUUAUCUGCUGGGGUUGAUGGUUCACCACAACUUUCACUCUGUCCUCCACCGUUUCAAACACCCGACACCGUCACUAAAUCUACUGCUGUAGAACGACCAACACCUUCAUCACCGUUUGCACAGUUACAGCCUACCACGUUAUGUUUAAACAGUAGCGGCGAGGAGCCCGUCCAGAUACCUAAUGAUCACGUCAACGAUACACUCACGUUAAAUGCUGAUAAUUUUGUUUGUAAGAAACCUAAUUAUGAAUUACUCCAGUCUCCAGAAGUUCAUGAAGAGGAACCGAGAGAGACACAUAAUUUAAAGGAAAGACGAAGAAGAGCCCGUAUAAAGGAAGCGUGUGACUUAAUGAGGAAUUUGAUACCUGGAAUGUCUGAGAAAACCGAUAAAGCUACUGUGUUUGAGUUCGCUGCUAGAUAUAUCCACUUUCUAAAAACAUACACAGGAAGUCAGUAUGAUAAGGAUUUUCUUAUUAAAUACAGCCCUUACUGAUACACGGACCAUAUGAAAUUAUCAAGAGUCGGAAGUCAAGUUUCAAGUCGAUGUCCAUCACAUCCUUGAGUCUAUAAGUGGAACAAAUUGGCUAGACCAAACGCCCUUGGUUGUUUGUAGCAUUAUUUUCAAUUAUCCCAAAUACCAAAAACACUCAAACUAAAAGAUUAUGAAAAUUACCGAUUUUAAUAAUGCAGUCUGUAUGUAUAUAAACCUUUGCAGG